rnacentral:rRNA from 1 species
UAGAGUUUGAUCCUGGCUCAGAGUGAACGCUGGCGGCGUGCUUAACACAUGCAAGUCGAACGAGAACGGGUUAUAGCUUGCUAUAACUGUCAGCUAAGUGGCGCACGGGUGAGUAAUAUAUAGGUAAUGUGCCUUAGAGAAGAGAAUAAUUGUUGGAAACGACUUGUAAUGCUCUAUAUGCCCUUAAUACAAAAGUAUGCAGGGGAAAUAUUUAUAGCUCUAAGAUCGGCCUGUACGGUAUCAGCUUGUUGGUGAGGUAAUGGCUCACCAAGGCUAUGACGCCUAACUGGUUUGAGAGGAUGAUCAGUCACACUGGAACUGAGACACGGUCCAGACUCCUACGGGAGGCAGCAGUGGGGAAUAUUGCACAAUGGACGAAAGUCUGAUGCAGCAACGCCGCGUGGAGGAUGACACAUUUCGGUGCGUAAACUCCUUUUAUAUGAGAAGAAAAUGACGGUAUCAUAUGAAUAAGCGCCGGCUAACUCCGUGCCAGCAGCCGCGGUAAUACGGAGGGCGCAAGCGUUACUCGGAAUUACUGGGCGUAAAGCGUGCGUAGGUGGUUUGUUAAGUUAGAUGUGAAAGCCCUGGGCUCAACCUAGGAACUGCAUUUAAAACUGGCAAACUAGAGUAUAGGAGAGGAAAGUGGAAUUUCAGGUGUAGCGGUGAAAUGCGUAGAUAUCUGAAGGAACAUCAAUGGCGAAGGCAGCUUUCUGGACUAAUACUGACACUGAGGUACGAAAGCGUGGGUAGCAAACAGGAUUAGAUACCCUGGUAGUCCACGCCGUAAACGAUGACAACUAGCCGUUGGGAGGGUUUACCUCUUAGUGGCGAAGCUAACGCGUUAAGUUGUCCGCCUGGGGAGUACGGCCGCAAGGUUAAAACUCAAAGGAAUUGACGGGGACCCGCACAAGCGGUGGAGCAUGUGGUUUAAUUCGAUGCAACGCGAAGAACCUUACCUGGUCUUGACAUACACGGAACUUUCCAGAGAUGGAUUGGUGCCUUCGGGAACCGUGAUACAGGUGCUGCAUGGCUGUCGUCAGCUCGUGUCGUGAGAUGUUGGGUUAAGUCCCGUAACGAGCGCAACCCUUAUCCUUAUUUGCCAGCACAUCAUGGUGGGAACUAUAAGGAGACUGCCGGUGAUAAACCGGAGGAAGGCGGGGACGACGUCAAGUCAUCAUGGCCCUUACGACCAGGGCUACACACGUGCUACAAUGGGAAGGACAAAGGGUUGCUAAGCCGCGAGGUGGUGCUAAUCUCAUAAACCUUUUCGUAGUCCGGAUCGGAGUCUGCAACUCGACUCCGUGAAGUCGGAAUCGCUAGUAAUCGUAGAUCAGAAUGCUACGGUGAAUACGUUCCCGGGUCUUUUACACACCGCCCGUCAUACCAUGGGAGUGGGUUGCACCAGAAGUGGCUAGUCUAACUGUUUAGCAGGGGACGGUCAGCCAGCGGUGUGAUUCAUGANUGGGGUAAAUGUCGUAAUCAAGGUAAUCCAAC